rnacentral:rRNA from 1 species
CAGUAGCCGCGGGAAUACGGAGGGUGCAAGCGUUAAUCGGAAUUACUGGGCGUAAAGCGCACGCAGGCGGUCUGUCAAGUCGGAUGUGAAAUCCCCGGGCUCAACCUGGGAACUGCAUUCGAAACUGGCAGGCUAGAGUCUUGUAGAGGGGGGUAGAAUUCCAGGUGUAGCGGUGAAAUGCGUAGAGAUCUGGAGGAAUACCGAUGGCGAAGGCAGCCAUCUGGCCUAAUACUGACGCUGAGGUACGAAAGCAUGGGGAGCAAACAGGAUUAGAUACCCCUGUAGUCCCUGUCUCUUAUAC